UGGGGAAUAUUGGACAAUGGGCGCAAGCCUGAUCCAGCAAUGCCGCGUGUGUGAAGAAGGCCUUCGGGUUGUAAAGCACUUUUAUCAGGAGCGAAACGCUGUCGGCUAAUACCCGGCGGAACUGACGGUACCUGAGGAAUAAGCACCGGCUAACUUCGUGCCAGCAGCCGCGGUAAUACGAAGGGUGCAAGCGUUAAUCGGAAUUACUGGGCGUAAAGCGUGCGUAGGCGGUUUCUUAAGUCUGCUGUGAAAUCCCCGGGCUCAACCUGGGAAUGGCAGUGGAUACUGGGAGGCUAGAGUGUGUCAGAGGGUGGUGGAAUUCCCGGUGUAGCGGUGAAAUGCGUAGAGAUCGGGAGGAACAUCAGUGGCGAAGGCGGCCACCUGGGACAACACUGACGCUGAGGCACGAAAGCGUGGGGAGCAAACAGGAUUAGAUACCCUGGUAGUCCACGCCCUAAACGAUGCGAACUGGAUGUUGGUCUCAACUCGGAGAUCAGUGUCGAAGCUAACGCGUUAGGUUCGCCGCCUGGGGAGUACGGUCGCAAGAUUG
rnacentral:rRNA from 1 species